rnacentral:rRNA from 1 species
UUAAAUAUAUAUUUAUAUAUAUACUAUUCAUAAAAUAAUUUAUACAAAUUAAAUUACUAAUUUAAUCAUUAUAUUAUAACUAAUAUUAUUAAAAUUAUUUUUUUUUUAAAAUCAAUAUAUAUAAUUAAUUUUACUAUAAUUAAAAAUUUAUUAAUAAAUUAUUAAAUACUCAUUAAAUUCUUUUAAAUUUUAAAAUUAAUCUUUUUAAUUUUAAUUUAAAUUAUUAUAUAAAUUUAAUUUAUAGAUUAUCCCAUAAAUUAUUUAUAUUUUCUAAAAUAAACUUUUUUAUUUAAAUUUACUUUAAAAAAUAUAUAAAUUAAAUUUAAUUCAAAAAUAACUAGAUAUCAUUAAAAUUGAAUAACAUCUAAUCUCUAAAUAUAUAUUUAUAAUUUUUAUUCAACAAAAAAAAUUUUAUAUAUUUAACUCUUUUAAUUUCGAGAUAUUUAAUUUAUUAAAAAUUUUUAAAUUAACCCUGAUACAAAAGGUACAAAAUUUUACUUUAAUUUAUAAAAUUUUAAAAUUUCAUUUACAUUACUUAUAUAUAUAAAUAUAUUUAUUAUUUCUUAAAAUAUUACUUUAACAUAAAAUUUUUAUAAAAACUUUUUAUAAUAUACUAAUUAAAACAAUAAAAAAAUUUUAUUUAAUUAAUUA